CCCAACCACUGGUCUGGCUUACUUCUCUUCUACUCCCGUAUUUGAGACCAGGCAAUAUUUACUAAUAAUUCAGAGGUACAGUAACUCAGAACAUCUGUGGACUGAAGCCAAGACCCAAACUAGACCCCCAUAGAGUACAAAAGAUGACACGGCGGCAGACUCAUGAGAUGACAGCUGGGUGUUCACAAUGACCAUGAUGGAUGUUAACUGCUGCAGAAGUUCAAGGUGUGUCAUUCUUGUUGGCCUUGGAGAGAAAUUCAGGAUCCAACCUUGCAGCAGGAAAAUCAACGG